rnacentral:rRNA from 1 species
CCUACGGGAGGCAGCAGUGGGGAAUAUUGGACAAUGGGCGCAAGCCUGACCCAGCAACGCCGCGUGAAGGAAGAAGGCUUUCGGGUUGUAAACUUCUUUUAUCAGGGACGAAACAAGUGACGGUACCUGAUGAAUAAGCCACGGCUAACUACGUGCCAGCAGCCGCGGUAAUAAGUAGGGGGCAAGCGUUAGCCGGAUUUACGGGGUGUAAAGGGCGGGUAGGCGGGAGUGCAAGUCAGAUGUGAAAACUAUGGGCUCAACCCAUAGCCUGCAUUUGAAACUGUACUUCUUGAGUGCUGGAGGGGCAAUCGGAAUUCCGGGUGUAGCGGUGAAAUGCGUAGAUAUACGGAGGAACACCAGUGGCGAAGGCGGAUUGCUGGACAGUAACUGACGCUGAGGCGCGAAAGCGUGGGGAGCAAACAGGAUUAGAUACCCCUGUAGUC